rnacentral:rRNA from 1 species
AGUCAACAUGCCCAGGGGACGUGGAUAACCUCGGGAAACUGAGGAUAAACCGCGAUAGGUCACUACUUCUGGAAUGGGUAAUGACUUAAACCUAUAUGGCCCCUGGAUUGGACUGCGGCCGAUCAGGCUGUUGGUGAGGUAAUGGCCCACCAAACCUGUAACCGGUACGGGCUCUGAGAGGAGGAGCCCGGAGAUGGGCACUGAGACAAGGGCCCAGGCCCUAUGGGGCGCAGCAGGCGCGAAACCUCUGCAAUAGGCGAAAGCCUGACAGGGUUAUUCUGAGUGAUUUCCGCUAAGGAAAUCUUUUGGCACCUCUAAAAAUGGUGCAGAAUAAGGGGUGGGCAAGCCUGGUGUCAGCCGCCGCGGUAAUACCAGCACCCCGAGUGGUCGGGACGAUUAUUGGGCCUAAAGCAUCCGUAGCCUGUUCUGCAAGUCCUCCGUUAAAUCCACCUGCUCAACGGAUGGGCUGCGGAGGAUACCGCAGAGCUAGGAGGCGGGAGAGGCAAACGGUACUCAGUGGGUAGGGGUAAAAUCCAUUGAUCUACUGAAGACCACCAGUGGCGAAGGCGGUUUGCCAGAACGCGCUCGACGGUGAGGGAUGAAAGCUGGGGGAGCAAACCGGAUUAGAUACCCGGGUAGUCCCAGCUGUAAACGAUGCAGACUCGGUGAUGGGUUGGCCUCGAGCCAACUCAGUGCCGCAGGGAAGCCGUUAAGUCUGCCGCCUGGGGAGUACGGUCGCAAGACUGAAACUUAA